rnacentral:tRNA from 1 species
AAGGCCUUAAGUUAAAAUAAACUCGUAGCCUUCAAAGCUAUCAACAAGGGGCCAACCUUUAGGCCUUG